rnacentral:rRNA from 1 species
UCGAGAAUCUUCGGCAAUGGGCGCAAGCCUGACCGAGCGACGCCGCGUGCGGGAUGAAGGCCUUCGGGUUGUAAACCGCUGUCAGUGCGGAGGAAAUAUAGAGGGGUUCUCCCCUUUAUUUGACCUAUGCGCAGAGGAAGGACGGGCUAAGUUCGUGCCAGCAGCCGCGGUAAGACGAACCGUCCAAACGUUAUUCGGAAUUACUGGGCUUAAAGGGUGCGUAGGCGGUCCUGUAAGUUGGGUGUGAAAGACCUCGGCCUAACCGAGGAAUUGCGCCCAAAACUGCCGGACUCGAGCAAGGCAGAGGUGAACGGAACUUAGGGUGGAGCGGUGAAAUGCGUUGAUAUCCUAAGGAACACCAGUAGCGAAAGCGGUUCACUGGGCCUUUUCUGACGCUGAUGCACGAAAGCCAGGGGAGCGAACG